rnacentral:rRNA from 1 species
AUUGAACGCUGGCGGCAUGCCUUACACAUGCAAGUCGAACGGUAACAGGUCUUCGGAUGCUGACGAGUGGCGAGCGGGUGAGUAAUACAUCGGAACGUACCCAGUAAUGGGGGAUAACGUAGCGAAAGUUACGCUAAUACCGCAUACGAUCUACGGAUGAAAGCGGGGGACCGUAAGGCCUCGCGCGAUUGGAGCGGCCGAUGUCAGAUUAGGUAGUUGGUGAGGUAAAGGCUCACCAAGCCGACGAUCUGUAGCUGGUCUGAGAGGACGACCAGCCACACUGGUACUGAGACACGGCCCAGACUCCUACGGGAGGCAGCAGUGGGGAAUUUUGGACAAUGGGCGCAAGCCUGAUCCAGCCAUUCCGCGUGCAGGACGAAGGCCUUCGGGUUGUAAACUGCUUUUGUACGGAACGAAAAGGCUCCGGUUAAUACCUGGGGCUCAUGACGGUACCGUAAGAAUAAGCACCGGCUAACUACGUGCCAGCCGCCGCCGUAA